AUUUUCCUGUUGCUCCUCUGGCCACCCUCCCAAUGGAUCCGUGUGGUCCCUGGCAGGAAUGUCUUGCUUGGGGACCGAGUGAGCUCUUAGAGCCUUUCUGCUGCUUCCUCUACCCCUGUAUUUUACUCAGCUCUCUAAAUUGACUCAGUGCCAGGUCUGCUGCAGUUUGCUGGAGGUCCACUCCAGACUCUAUGUACCUGGAUAUCACCAGCGGAAGCUGCAGAAUAGCAAAGAUUGCUUCCUGGUCCUUCCUCUGGAAGCUUCAUCCCAGAGGGGCACUGGCCUGAUGUCAGCUGGAGCUCUCCUGUAUGAGCCUCCGGUAAUCACCAUUUUACUCUCUACCUCCAUGAGAUCAACUUUUUUAGCUCCCACAGUUGGUGCUCCAUCUAUACCAGGUUGCUACUUCAUGUUUGGACUUGGAUGAAACAGCAUACUAUAAGGCAUGAAACCUGGCUUCCUGAGUGACAGCUGAGAGGAGAGAUGUAGCUGAACCAAUCAGCUACAACGUCAUUCCAGUGUCCAUACUUACAUAGUGGAAAAUCCUCUAAAGCCCACUUCUGAGAGAACACUAAUUUCUAGAUUUCACAUUUCCCGAAUCCCGUAUAAGAUCAGUUCUUUCUUGGU
rnacentral:lncRNA from 1 species